rnacentral:rRNA from 1 species
GACGAACGCUGGCGGCGUGCUUAACACAUGCAAGUCGAACGGAAAGGCCCUGCUUUUGUGGGGUGCUCGAGUGGCGAACGGGUGAGUAACACGUGAGUAACCUGCCCUUGACUUUGGGAUAACUUCAGGAAACUGGGGCUAAUACCGGAUAUGAGCUCCUGCUGCAUGGUGGGGGUUGGAAAGUUUCGGCGGUUGGGGAUGGACUCGCGGCUUAUCAGCUUGUUGGUGGGGUAGUGGCUUACCAAGGCUUUGACGGGUAGCCGGCCUGAGAGGGUGACCGGCCACAUUGGGACUGAGACACGGCCCAGACUCCUACGGGAGGCAGCAGUGGGGAAUAUUGCACAAUGGGCGGAAGCCUGAUGCAGCAACGCCGCGUGCGGGAUGACGGCCUUCGGGUUGUAAACCGCUUUCGCCUGUGACGAAGCGUGAGUGACGGUAAUGGGUAAAGAAGCACCGGCUAACUACGUG